CUUAAUGUUACUUUCAGGAUUUGCAAGCUUGUGAAGUUCAUUUAUUACAGUUACAGUUAAACUUAUUUUAAAUUAUAAUAAUAGCAAAAGUGACUUCAUUCAAAAACAUGAAAAAAAUACAGUGUAUAUACAAUAUCACUCAUGACCACAUAAACAGAGCCAAUAAGUGAUGAUAGAUAGAUAGAUAGAUAGAUAGAUAGAUAGAUAGAUAGAUAGAUAGAUAGAUAGAUAGAUAGAUAGAUAGAUGUUAUGAUUGGCUUCUCUUGAUAUCUGAUCAUAACAGCAGCUUUUGUUCGCAGGGUCUUAUUGGAGCUCAGGAAUAAAUCAUUUGAAUCUGCUGUUCUUCUGUGAUAUAACAGGUGUUACUGGAGUUGUUUAGGGAACCUGCAGGGCUCAUCCUGACGGCUUAUUCUCACCUAAUACUUUAAUACUCAUUAAGGCCUGCCUCUGUGACUUCCACCAUCAUCCUGAUCCGCUCACAAGCCCCGCCCACACGACCUGUCCAUCGCAGAACAGCAAUAAAAGUGUUCUUCAAAAGGCAAGAGAAGAGAGAGAACAAGAGGCUCAACACAGGAAUGCACCAGCAGAGAUGACAGACGGCUUCUUUAUUCAGAUGUGGAGAAAUGUAGCAUUGCAUAACUUGCUCAGCAAUGGAUCCUCUGCGGAUGCGGUGAAUGGGUGCCGUCAGAAUGAGAGUCCAAACAACUGAUAAAAACAACACAAUAAUCCACAAGUAAUCCCACCAUUCCAGCCCAUCAGUUAAUGUCUUGUGAAGUGAAAAACUACACGUUUGUAAAAAUAAUAAUAAUAAAUAAAUAAAUAAAUCAUUAAAACAUUUUAUAGUCAAACUGUUGCUUCCAGGUAAAAUAUGGUUCUUCCCUGCAUGAUGCUUUUUCCAGUAAUAAAAUAAUAUAAAAUAAAACUGUUUACAUUAUAAUGGAAGUCUGUGGUGCAAGAAUGAUUGCAGCAUUAACUUCCAUUCCAAGUGCAUUUAUGUUAAUGCACUUUAUGGCUUGCCACAAUACAGUUUAAUCUGUGUUUAAUAUAUAUAUAUAUACAUAGAGAGAGAGAGAGAGAGAGAGAGAGAAGAAAGUAUCAUCUGUAUUCUACAUCAUGUUGGAAUCAUUGUAAUUUAGAGCUCUGUACUAGUAAGACACGUCACUGUUAAACUGUAUAAACAUAAGACAUUUUGUGACAUCUUAAAAUAUCCAAAAUGCCAACUUCUUAAAACAUUAAACUGGAUAUAUAGACCUAUAGUUUUAUUCUUAUUAAAAGUCUUAAUGCAGAAUGAUUUAAAUUUUAUAUGAAAUAAAACAUGACAAAAACAACGGUGAACUCAGAUUCAUUUGGGCAUCCUGAGUGUUACCAUAGCAACUAAAUAUUCCUGAGCCAAACAGUGUGAACAUUCCAAAUAGAAUUUCUUAUUAUGAUAACCCCAACAACAUGAUAUAAGCAUGCCAUCAUGCUCUGCCAAGUUCCAAAAAAGAAAUGUAAACUGUGACAUCAAAGCUUUGAAAGAACGUUCUUUUAGCGUUACUGGAAGAACUCUGAGAGAACGUUCCCGGACAGCUGGUGUCAGUAUUUCACUACAGUGCAAUUCGUCUCUCCAUCUACGUUAGUGUCUUUAUAAUAAGAACUGAAUGAUUAAGAACGGUGCCCAAAUAAUCUAGAAUACUUUAGUAGGCUGUGGCUGUUCAAUCGCGUUUAGCAACUGAGCUGAACUGAAAUAAACGGUUUGUUUGCGCGCUCCUCGACACUCUUGCGUGUGAACGCGCCGAUCCGCCAGACUCAGGUCUGAUCUGAUCAGAGGAGGUGAAGAGCAGCUAAACCUUGUGACACACAGACACUAAUCCACUCGCCAUAGUAAUGCGCGUAGUUUCGGGUAAAACACAUCUAACACCCCGCAGGACGCAUGCAGUUCCACAUGAAGCUCACACUUCGCGCCCUCUACUGGUUCACUUCUGCAACGACACUCGGACGUUUAUCAGUAUAGGCCUCAGAGACUAAUAAACUCACAUAUGUCUAUAUGUUUUUAAUUUUAUUUCAUUUUUUUU
rnacentral:lncRNA from 1 species